rnacentral:lncRNA from 1 species
AAAUAGGCCUAGCCGAAGUGAAAGGAGGAACAAUCUCUGCUUCUGGAAAGAACAUUACAACUGAGAUGGUUUGAAGAGGAAAGGAACCUGUGACUCUCGUUGUCUCCAGGAUUUCACCAUAAAUGGAAGAAAAUGAAAAAUUCACACUCAUGUCUGACAACGGGAGACCUCUAGAGGAGAGAGCUCAGCCCACGGGAAUGGGUCACACAUUGUGAAUUAUCAGGCAUGACUGAAGGGAAGUCUAGCUAAAGUUGCACCUGGUUUUGGCUAUGAUGUCAAGAAUGAGGAGGGCCAGUCCUGCGACUUGGAAGCAGCUGUGGAGGAAUCAGUACAACUACCCUCAGAGAUGGCGGUCCCUUCCAGAAAAGGACAUCAGGACGUACAGCGAGAGACACCAGGGAGAUGCUUGCACAGAGAAAAAGAUCACUGAGGACACAGUAAGAAGGCAGCCACCUACAAGCCAAGGGGAGAGGCCUCAAGAGAACCCACACCUGCCAACGCCUUGAUCUUGGACAUCCAGGCUCUAAAACUGAAGACUGGCCCUGAGCUAACAUCCAUGCCCAUCUUCCUCUACUUUAUAUGUGGGACACCUACCACAGCAUGGCUUUUGCCAAGUGGUGCCAUGUCCACACCCGGGAUCCGAACCGGUGAACCCCAGGCUGCUGAGAAGUGGAAUGUGUGAACUUAACCUCUGCACCACCAGGCCAGCCCCUAUAGUAUCUAAAUUCUAAACAAAUGCUCUAAAGUGAGAAUUUUUUUAUUAAAACUUUAAGUGAAAUCUGCUAUAAAUAAAAAAUUCUAGACUUGUGAUUUCAAAUUAACUAGGCAUUAUUUUAUUCUCUAUUACCAUUAGUUUCAUUUCUAACAUACCAAAAUUGGUAAUAAAAUGUUAAUACCUAU